rnacentral:rRNA from 1 species
GUCAAGGAAGUAAGGGCGUAUGGUGGAUGUCUUGGUAUCAGAAAGCGAUGAAGGACGCGGCCAACUGCGAAAAGCCACGGGGAGGAGUAAGUAUCUUAUGAUCCGUGGGAUUCCGAAUGGGGAAACCCACCCAGAGUAAUGUCUGGGUAUCUUAUACUGAAUACAUAGGUAUAUGAAGCGAACCCGGCGAAGUGAAAUAUCUCAGUAACCGGAGGAAAAUAAAUCAAACGAGAUUCCCUUAGUAGCGACGAGCGAAUGGGGAAUAGCCCAAACCAAACCUACUUGUAGGUUUGGGGUUGUAGGACCGCAUGAGUAGGACUACUAUAUGAUAGUUGAAUGAGCUGGAAAGCUCUCCCAUAGAAGGUGAUAGGCCUGUAAGCGAAAUUUUAUAGUUACCGAAGCGGUAUCCUGAGUACCACGGGACACGAGAAAUCCCGUGGGAAUCUGGGGGGACCACCCUCCAAGGCUAAAUAUUAUCUGAUGACCGAUAGUGGACCAGUACCGUGAGGGAAAGAUGAAAAGAACCCCGGUGAGGGGAGUGAAAUAGAACCUGAAACCAUAUGCCUACAAGCUGUAGGAGUCCUGACUUGUCGGGAUGACUGCGUGCCUUUUGAUUAAUGAGCCGGCGAGUUACUGAGCGUAGCAAGGUUAAUCCCUUUAAGGGGAGGAGCCGUAGGGAAACCGAGUCCUAACAGGGCGAUCUAGUUGCGUUUAGUAGACCCGAAGCUAGGUGAGCUACCCAUGGUCAGGGUGAAGUGCCGAGAAGUCGGCAUGAAGGCCCGAACCGUUGUCAGUUGCAAAUGGCUCGGAUGAACUGUGGGUCGGAGUGAAAGGCUAAUCAAACCUAGUGAUAGCUGGUUCUCCCCGAAAUGUAUUUAGGUACAGCCUUAUGUAUGUCUUGAGGAGGUAGGGCACUGAAUGGGCUAGGGCUCUUUACGGGGUACCAAACCCAAUCAAACCACGAAUGCCUUUAAGAUCAAGCAUAGGAGUGAGACUGCGGGUGCUAAGAUUCGUAGUCGAGAGGGAAACAGCCCAGAACGUCAGCUAAGGUCCCUAAGAUAGAACUAAGUGGGAAAGGAUGUAAGAUCGCACAAACACCCAGGAGGUUGGCUUAGAAGCAGCCAUCCUUUAAAGAAAGCGUAAUAGCUCACUGGUCUAGUGGUCUUGCGCCGAAAAUUUAACGGGGCUUAAGUUCUACACCGAAGCUACGUCUUUCCGGUUUACCGGAAGGGGUAGGGGAGCAUUCUAUUGAUCGCUGAAGCUCUGGCGUGAGCCAGGGUGGAGAUUUUAGAAGAGACUAUGUCGGCAUAAGUAGCGUGAAAGUCUGUGAAAAACAGACUCGCCGUAAGCCUAAGGUUUCCUGGGGAAGGAUAGUCCUCCCAGGGUAAGUCGGGCCUAAGUCGAGGCCGAAGGGCGUAGACGAUGGACAACUGGUUAAAAUUCCAGUACCAUCUAUGAUGCGUUUGACCUAUGGGGUGACGCAGGAGGAUAGGUUCUGCCGGGCGUUGGUUGUCCCGGUACAAGCAAUCAGGGUAGUGGCCAGGCAAAUCCGGUCACUAUUAACCCGAAAUGUUACGUGGAUCCCGAGUAAUUCCGGGAGAAGAGGCUGAUUCCAAGCUGUCAAGAAAAACCUCUAUGGGAGUAUCAUGGAUGACCGUACCGCAAACCGACACUGGUAGGUGGGUAGAAGAUACCAAGGCGAGCGAGUAAACUCUCGCAAAGGAACUCGGCAAAAUGGCCCCGUAACUUCGGGAGAAGGGGUGCUUCUGUAAAGAAGUUUCAAUAAAGAGGCUCAAGCGACUGUUUAGCAAAAACACAGGUGUCUGCUAACUGGAUAACAGGAUGUAUAGACACUGACGCCUGCCCGGUGCCGGAAGGUUAACAGGAGGGGUUAGGACUUCGGUCCGAAGCUCUGAAUCGAAGCCCCGGUAAACGGCGGCCGUAACUAUAACGGUCCUAAGGUAGCGAAAUUCCUUGUCGGGUAAGUUCCGACCUGCACGAAUGGCGUAACGAUUUGAGCACUGUCUCUGCGAGAGACUCGGCGAACUUGAGAUACCGGUGAAGACGCCGGUUACCUGCAACAAGACGGAAAGACCCCGUGAACCUUUACUACAACUUGACAGUGAAUUUUGGUGAAGCAUGUGUAGGAUAGGUGGGAGGCUAUGAAACUGAAACGCUAGUUUUGGUGGAGCCAACCUUGAAAUACCACCCUUGCUUUUUUGAGAUUCUAACUAUUCCCCAUUAUCUGGGGAGAGGACAUUGUCUGGUGGGUAGUUUGACUGGGGCGGUCGCCUCCCAAACAGUAACGGAGGCGUACAAAGGUCUGCUCAGGCUGGUCGGAAAUCAGCCAUCGAGUGCAAAGGCAUAAGCAGGCUUAACUGUGAGACAAACAAGUCGAGCAGAUGGGAAACCAGGUCUUAGUGAUCCGGUGACUCCUUGUGGAAGGGUCAUCGCUCAACGGAUAAAAGGUACUCCGGGGAUAACAGGCUGAUAGCAUCCAAGAGUUCAUAUCGACGAUGCUGUUUGGCACCUCGAUGUCGGCUCAUCACAUCCUGGGGCUGAAGUCGGUCCCAAGGGUUGGGCUGUUCGCCCAUUAAAGUGGUACGCGAGCUGGGUUCAGAACGUCGUGAGACAGUUCGGUCCCUAUCUGUUGUAGGCGUUGGAGAAUUGAGAGGAGCUGUCCUUAGUACGAGAGGACCGGGAUGGACGAACCUCUGGUGUGCCAGUUGUUAUGCCAAUGGCAACGCUGGGUAGCUAUGUUCGGAUUGGAUAACCGCUGAAAGCAUCUAAGUGGGAAGCCAACCUCAAGAUUAAUUCUCCCUUGUCCCGUUUCGGCGGGACGCUGAAGGUCGGUGGUAGACUACCACGUUGAUAGGCUGGAGGUGUAAGUGCGGUGACGUAUUAAGCUGACCAGUACUAAUUGACCGUGUGCCUUGAC